AGGCGGCCAGCGGCUCGCAGGGCGCGGAGUAGACGCUUCGCCGCGGACCGAGGAGCGGCGCGGAACGGCGUGGGGAACUCGGAUUCGGCCUGCGACACCCCCGCAUGCGCCGGCCGGCCCGGUAGCGGCGGCCCCAAUGCUGCUGCAGCCCGCGUGCGCCCCGAGUGUGUUUCCGCGGCCGUCCGCCGCCCCCAGCGCCAUGCACGGCUCACAGAAGGACACCACGUUCACCAAGAUCUUCGUGGGCGGCCUGCCCUACCACACCACCGACGCAUCGCUCAGAAAGUACUUCGAGGGCUUUGGAGACAUCGAGGAGGCCGUGGUCAUCACCGACCGCCAGACCGGUGACCAUGGCAGAUCGGGCAGCAGCUGAUAGGGCUUGCAAAGACCCUAACCCUAUCAUCGAUGGCCGCAAGGCCAACGUGAACCUGGCCUACCUGGGUGCCAAGCCUAGGAGCCUGCAGACGGGCUUUGCCGUUGGUGUGCAGCAACUACACCCCACCUUGAUCCAGCGCACCUACGGGCUGACUCCCCACUACAUCUACCCACCAGCCAUUGUACAGCCCAGCGUGGUGAUCCCUGCCACCCCUGUCCCGUCACUGUCCUCGCCCUACCUUGAGUAUACACCAGCCAGCCCAGCCUACGCUCAGUACCCUCCAGCCACUUACGACCAGUACCCAUACGCCGCCUCGCCUGCCACGGCCACCAGCUUCGUGGGCUAUGGCUACCCUGCCGCCAUUCCCCCAGCCUUGUCUGCCACGGCACCUGCAGGCACCACCUUCGUGCAGUACCAGGCACCUCAGCUACAGCCUGACAGGAUGCAGUGAGGCGCGUCCUGCACAGGGCCACAGCCACCACCUGCCAGCCUUGGGAGCCACCACCACAUGGGUCUCCUCAGGCCCCGGGGCCCACCUGCCCUGAAGGCACCAGCAAGCUUCUUCUGCAGCCCUGCCGUGCUUGAGGAAGGGCCUGAGAAGGAAGGUACACUCUGG
rnacentral:lncRNA from 1 species